GAGUGGACCCCACAGAGCUGUGGUCAUGUACAGGCUCUCCCAUGACUCAGACCAGCAGCAUGCUUACCUGUGGAUAAGAGUGAGCCCCGUGGGUUGAGUGUGGACCCCCACUUCCUCCCUGCUCCUUCUCCUGCCUCGGUUCCCAUCA
rnacentral:lncRNA from 1 species